UACGGGGGGUGCGAGCGUUGUCCGGAAUCACUGGGCGUAAAGGGCGCGUAGGUGGUCUGAUAAGGGUGUGGUGAAAGCCCGGGGCUCAACCCCGGGUCGGCCGUGCCGACUGUUAGACUAGAGUGCUGUAGGGGCAGGCGGAAUUCCGGGUGUAGCGGUGGAAUGCGUAGAGAUCCGGAGGAAGACCGGUGGCGAAGGCGGCCUGCUGGGCAGUUACUGACACUGAGGCGCGACAGCGUGGGGAGCAAACGGG
rnacentral:rRNA from 1 species